rfam:Picea glauca, whole genome shotgun sequence.
GGGUGUGAUCAUACCUGCGUUAAUGCACCAGAUCCCAUCGAAACUCUGCAGUUAAGCACGCUUGGGAUAGAGUAGUACUGGGAUGGGUGACCUCCUGGGAAGUCCUAGUGUUGCACCCU